AUGUAAUAUUAUUAGGCUGUAAAAGCAUGAAAUCUUGUCAUUUGCCAUGAGCUGGAUGGAGCGAGAGAAUGUUAUCCUGGGUGAAAUAAGCCUUUCAGACAAAGACAAAUACCAGAUGAUUUCACUAACACAUGGAUAUAAAACAAAACAAAGCGGGGGGGGGGGGGCGGGGAGGAGACAGUGACAAACAGACUUUUAACUAGGAAACAAACUGAGGGCUUCCAGAGCAAGGUGGGGAAUGGGUGAAAGAGCUGCUGGGGAUUAAGAAGUGCACCUGGGAUGAGCACCGGAUGACGUGUGGAGGGGUUGCUCUAUAUUUUACACCUGAAACUAACACUACACUGUAUCUUUACUCACUGCAAUUUAAAUUAAAGAUAACGUACGUCAAUGACAGGUACCUACCAGGUUUUCUGUAGUUUGCAAUCACUUCACUAGGUUCGAAAAAUAACCAUGAAAUUUUUGAAAAAGCAUGUAUGAUGUGGGGGACAGUUUGUGCCUUUACCUCGGUCACUGGUUUCAGCAGAACUUGGAAAAUGGGUCCUAGCUCAUACUUCUAGGAGUUCCCAGGAAGAGAAUUUCAUGUAUUCAUGUCCUAACGGAAUGCAGCUCCCGUUCUUCUGAAUUUCUGUCAGGGUUUCUUCCCGGAAACUAGCCUGAAUCUGGAACAAACCAUCGACUGCAUCGAUGAGGUGAUGUCGUGGGACCCUGCAAUCCACGAGACCUUUAGUAAAAUACAUCUUGUUCAAAUACUGUCCGGGAAGGGGAGGAAUGAAACACGGGAACAGCUCAGAAAAUGCAAGGGCCUGGGCAGCUCAGCAACCAGCUUGCCCAGGGAAGCCACCCAGCGCCCACUCCUCAGCACUCAGUACAAUAAGGCAAAUUCUCUCUGGCGACUCAGGAGAUGCCAAGUUGCUUCAGGAGAUGCCAAGUUGCUGCAAAGCUCCCAAGGUCUCCCCUGGGGCGGGUGGCAGAACCCGCUGGAAACACAGCUCUGCUCUCUGUCCUGAGACAGCAGUAGAGGCCCUGUGUCCUCUGGGAGCAGCAGCAGCCCUUCCUGCUCUGAAGUGCCCUGGGUCAGAAAAG
rnacentral:lncRNA from 1 species